rnacentral:rRNA from 1 species
UACGUAGGGUGCAAGCGUUGUCCGGAAUUAUUGGGCGUAAAGAGCGCUGUGAGCGGUUUGUCGCGUCUGCCGUGAAAUCCGAGGCUCAACCUCGGACUUGCGGUGGGUACGGGCAGACUAGAGUGUGGUAGGGGAGACUGGAAUUCUGGUGUAGCGGUGAAAUGCGCAGAUAUCAGGAGGAACACCGAUGGCGAAGGCAGGUCUCUGG